UACGUAGGGUGCAAGCGUUGUCCGGAAUUAUUGGGCGUAAAGAGCUCGUAGGCGGUUUGUCGCGUCUGCUGUGAAAACUCGGGGCUUAACUCCGGGCCUGCAGUGGGUACGGGCAGGCUAGAGUGUGGUAGGGGAGAUCGGAAUUCCUGGUGUAGCGGUGAAAUGCGCAGAUAUCAGGAGGAACACCGGUGGCGAAGGCGGAUCUCUGGGCCAUUACUGACGCUGAGGAGCGAAAGCGUGGGGAGCGAACAGG
rnacentral:rRNA from 1 species